rnacentral:rRNA from 1 species
CUUUCUUUGCUGGCGACCGGCGCACGGGUGAGUAACACGUAUCCAACCUGCCCUUUACUCGGGGAUAGCCUUUCGAAAGAAAGAUUAAUACCCGAUAGCAUAAUGAUUCCGCAUGGUUUCAUUAUUAAAGGAUUCCGGUAAAGGAUGGGGAUACGUUCCAUUAGGUUGUUGGUGAGGUAACGGCUCACCAAGCCUUCGAUGGAUAGGGGUUCUGAGAGGAAGGUCCCCCAUAUUGGAACUGAGACACGGUCCAA